AUGACUAUGAUCAUUAUGGAACAUGAAGCAGAGUUUUUGGGGACAAGUCGACAUCAGUGAUGGACAAUGUUACAGGAAGAUACCAAGUGGUGACAGACGCAUCAGCUGUUCAUGUGUCCAACGCCACAGCAACAGACUUUACAGGCUACAGAUGUCUGGUGAUGGACCAACAGCAGUGUGUUAGAAGUUAUACUGUCGGGUUGAGAAUAUGGUUGUUGAAGACAAUCUACAGCUCAGUGGGAGAGACCGCUGUGUUGCCGUGCACUAUCACUGACUCCACUGAUGAACAGCCUCCACAUUGGUCUAGUCAGAUCUCCUCUGACAUAAGACUACUAAACCACACUGUUCCUUCAGUAGACCAAAACUACUCGUUGGUGUUUUCAUCUCUAAUGUGAAAUCACUCAGGUCAGUACUACUGUGCAGCUUCUAGGAGAGACCAAACGUAUGAUCUUACUGU